rnacentral:lncRNA from 1 species
AGGAAGAGAGGAUCAAGGAGGUGUUCUUCCCCAUCUCUUCUUGCAUAUUUUCUUGGGGAAACCCUAGGUAUGAUGAGAUCCUUGUUCCUCCCUGUAAUUAUGUGCUUUUGGAGGUGGUGGAUCAUGGGGAUUAAAGGAUUAGAGGUUGUAUUAGAUGUGGGGUUAGGUUUUGAUCUCGAAUUUAGUUUUCUGCAGCAUGACAGAUUCGACAGUUUCUGUUCAUACCAGUUUUCCGUGAUCUUAGUGGCCUCAAAAAAAUAAAAAAGUCUAUAUAUGAGUCGUAGAUAAUUUGUAGAUCUUUCCGUGGCCACGAAGAACACCUCAAUCGGACAUCAGAACAGAAAGUUAUGACAGUUUGAUUAUAGCAGUUUUUCAGUCUCAUAAUUCUGUGCAGAAUCUGUUCUCUUAAGAGUUAGGCAAUUUUAUCAACAGAAUUAAACUGUGGGUUGGUAAAAGAAGUUGUAUAUAAUUUCAUAAGCUUUCCAGAUUGUUAAAGAGUGCAUUCAUAUGAUUUGUGAAACUCCAGUUAUGUUUGUUUUACUGUGGCUGUUCCUGUUUGCCUGACAAAAAUGAGUGGGUCUGUUCACUGGUGGGUUUCAUCUAGUAAAUGGCCGAAUUGGCUCUUCCAACUAUGGAGACUUUUGUAGAGGGAUAAAAGUUCUUACUUCCAGCAGAAUUUCAUAAUUUUUGGUUCAGUAGUUUGGGAGAUAUCGAAUUUUAAAGUGAACCAUACUGCUGUCUAAAACAGAUUCAGUCAGUUAUCUUGUGAGAUGUUUUAGAACUUGUAGAUGGCAGAAUUUAAUCAUCCAUUGAAUACUGAAGUUGUAGAGUAUUUUGUGUAGAUACUCCUAGAAUAUUUGUUUGAUAUCACCGCUGUUUUAAUUUUAAAGAUGCAAAAUUAACAAACAGCGCUGCUGCUGUAUGGCAUGUGGUUCAGGGUGGGAGUCUUUCCACUGGGUCUUGGUUUCAAGUGUAGGAGUGUUUUGUUGAUUGAUGGAAAAUGUUUGUGAAAUAUUUGUACUAAGUUUUAUGCCCGCUAGCAGGUGGCUACACUCUAGAUUAUGUCUAGUACAUUUCUUCUUCUUCGAUGAAGGCAAGUGAAUGUAGCGGUGGUUGCUUCCGUUCUGACCUGUUAUUUCUAUUUCCUACACUCUAAUAUUCAGAAGUAUUAGAUUCUUUCAUAAUUGGACUCUAUGGUGAUGCUUUACUUGCUUGCAUUAUACUGAUGCUCAAUCAUAUAUUGAUGAUGAUUAUGAUUCGAGUAUGAUUCAUGAGAUUAAUUCACACCCCUGAAGGUAAAUGAAGUAUUAUUUGAGGUUGAUAUUGUAUCUGAAGGUAAAUGAAGUAUUAUUUGAGGUUGGUAUUGUAUCUGAAGGUAAAUGAAGUAUUAUUUGAGGUUGGUAUUGUAUCUGAAGGUAAAUAAAGUAUUAUUUGAGGUUUGUAUUGUAUCUGAAGGAAGUGAAGGUUAUUGAUAAAUGCAGCAUGCCAUAUACAUUGCAUGACUCAUUUGCAUCUGAAGUUUUGUCGUGACCUAUGGUCCGACCGUACCGGUACAAUUUAGCAUCGUACGUUGCUCGAGGAGGGGUACGAUGCGGCUUCAUACCCUUAGAGGUAUGAAGGCAGAGGACAUAUGCAUUGCAUUCAUAUGCAUUCAUUGAAGUGAUAUUUGCAGAUGACGUGGUUUUAUACUCUCAGAGGUAUGAAGAUAGAGUACCUACACAUUGCAUUCCUAUGCAUACAUUGAAGUGAUAUUUGCAGGUAUUGUUGACGCGGGGAAGUGUUAUAGAACCUAUUGUGGUUGUUCGAGGAAAUGAGAUGAUAUUGGUUAUAUUGGGACUACUAAGUUCUAUAUCUACAAGUAUUUCUGAUCUUGAUUGUGAUUCUUUUAAAAUGUUGAUUAAUUCAAUUUGUGGUUUAAAUAUCUCGUCAGAACAAUUAGCUUGCUGAGAUGUUUCAUCUCACUCUUGCAUUACUCAAUGCAGGUGCUUUUUGCUCAUCAAGGGGAGUGGGAAGUAGCAGCACAUCCACCUUCACUCUCAUAAUAAUGCUGCCCAGACACAGUCAUGAUUUAAUUAGAAACUUCUGGUCAAAGGAUGUUUGUUUUAACUAGUCGUGCGCACUGAUUAAUUCAGUUCAUGUUGUUAUGGUUGUCUUCCCAUUGCUAGCAGAUUAUUAAUGUCUUUUAUGUUUUCUUAUCAUGAUAUCUAUUUAUACUUUGUUGCAUCCCCGUUUAUGCAAUUUUCAAAGGAG